GCAUCAGUAGUAUAGGUGGCAGAAUACUCGCCUUCCAAGCGAGUGACCCGGGUUCGACCCCCGGCUGAUGCA